CAUUAAUAAAGGCACUUGAUGGAAUAAAACUCUCACCACAGAUGCUCCUCUAUUGUCGAUCUACAUCCUCACCCUUCUAAUCUCCAAUUUGUCCUUCCCCCCUCAAUCUUCCCAGCGUUUAUCUACUUCACUUCACCCUUUCGAGCCCUAAUCUAAGGGAAAAUUCCCAUUUGAAGAGAAAGAGAAAAGGCUCUCUCUCUCUCUCUCUCUGCAACUCCAAACCCACUGCCCUCUCUUUCUCUCUCUAUCUCUCUCUCCUUUUCCCUCAAAACCCCUCUCAAAUCUUCCAUCUCCAUCCUCUCUACCAGGCCCUUUCAUUUCCCUCAAAGCCCCUCUUCAACCCCAAUUUACAACGAUUCAGAUGCAAAGUCGAAGCCUCGAAAGCUACUCAUUAAGAAGAACACGAUGGCCGAGGAGAGCACUCUUGAUUUUGGAAUUAGGGAAGAGGGUGAUGGGGGAGAAUUGGGGGAUUUUGUGAGAGGAGAGUUGGACUACGAUGAUUCCAGGGAUGGAAAGAGGAAGAAGUUUGAGAUAGAUGGUAUUGGUAGUAAUAGGAAGAGGGAGAAGAAAUUGAAGUCGAAGUCGGAGGGGAGAGAUGGGUUGAAAUUGAAGUUGAAGAAAGCAGGGGAUUCAGGUGAGCGAUCGAGGGAUCAAAAUGGUGAAGCAGACGUUAAGGAGAUGUAGGAUACUAUUGUAGGAGGUGAUUCUAAGGCUGCCUAUAAUGUUAGAGGUUAUGUAGUAAGUGCAGAUACAAUACAUAAUUCUAUCCUUGGAUGCCGCAUGUCUCGUCCUGGACAGAUUCCUAUUUACACACCCAAGAGGGAAUUUCAAGAGCUGGAAGUUGCAAAAGAAGAGUACAUUUGGGCUACUUUUGGUAUAAGAAAAGACCAAAAAAUUCUUUUACCAAAAACUGUGGAGCCCUUUGCUAAAGAUUCAGGGUUGUGUCUAGCUGGUUUGUUAGAGAUGAUCCAACAGUGUAUGCCUUAAUCUGUGAGAAAGAGUAUUAAGAAAUGUCAGACUGGGAAGUUGCAGAAGAGCAUUGAAUGGAUUCCUUACAAUUUUUCUUUCCAAUAUCUCAUAUCAAAAGAGCUGGUGAAGUGAUUGCUUUCACUGGUAAAUUCCAAUACUGGUGAGCUCCAUAGCAUUGUUCAUUUGUUUUCUUUGGGGAAAAAAAAAACACUGGGAGAGUUUUUAAGUUCCUUUUGUACAAAUGAAUAAGAAUACGGAAAGGUGGAAAUGGGAGGAUUGUAUGUCUUGGAUUACAUAGAUAAGAUUUGGAUAUUGAGGGUGUUUUUUUGGAUUUUUUGAGCCAACUCAUAGCUUCUAGCUUUGCAAAAGUUAUUUUGGACUGUUUGGUUAAACUUAUUUUAAACAGCUUCUGAUUCUAACAA